rnacentral:rRNA from 3 species
GGAGCCGACCUUGAAAUACCACCCUUUAAUGUUUGAUGUUCUAACGUGGACCCGUGAUCCGGGUUGCGGACAGUGUCUGGUGGGUAGUUUGACUGGGGCGGUCUCCUCCUAAAGAGUAACGGAGGAGCACGAAGGUUGGCUAAUCCUGGUCGGACAUCAGGAGGUUAGUGCAAUGGCAUAAGCCAGCUUGACUGCGAGCGUGACGGCGCGAGCAGGUGCGAAAGCAGGUCAUAGUGAUCCGGUGGUUCUGAAUGGAAGGGCCAUCGCUCAACGGAUAAAAGGUACUCCGGGGAUAACAGGCUGAUACCGCCCAAGAGUUCAUAUCGACGGCGGUGUUUGGCACCUCGAUGUCGGCUCAUCACAUCCUGGGGCUGAAGUAGGUCCCAAGGGUAUGGCUGUUCGCCAUUUAAAGUGGUACGCGAGCUGGGUUUAGAACGUCGUGAGACAGUUCGGUCCCUAUCUGCCGUGGGCGCUGGAGAACUGAGGGGGGCUGCUCCUAGUACGAGAGGACCGGAGUGGACGCAUCACUGGUGUUCGGGUUGUCAUGCCAAUGGCACUGCCCGGUAGCUAAAUGCGGAAGAGAUAAGUGCUGAAAGCAUCUAAGCACGAAACUUGCCCCGA